rnacentral:rRNA from 1 species
ACAAGCGGUGGAGUAUGUGGUUUAAUUCGAUGCAACGCGAAGAACCUUACCUGGUCUUGACAUCCCGGAAGACCCUUAGGAAACUAAGGGGGUGGCUUCCAUCUGGAAGAAUCUGGAGACAGGUGCUGCAUGGCUGUCGUCAGCUCGUGUCGUGAGAUGUUGGGUUAAGUCCCGCAACGAGCGCAACCCUUGCCUUUAGUUGCCAGCAGUUCGGCUGGGCACUCUAAAGGGACUGCCGGUGUUAAACCGGAGGAAGGUGGGGAUGACGUCAAGUCCUCAUGGCCUUUAUGACCAGGGCUACACACGUACUACAAUGGCCGAUACAAAGGGCAGCGACACUGCGAGGUGAAGCCAAUCCCGUAAAAUCGGUCUCAGUCCGGAUUGGAGUCUGCAACUCGACUCCAUGAAGUUGGAAUCGCUAGUAAUCGUGGAUCAGCAUGCCACGGUGAAUACGUUCCCGGGCCUU